ACACACCUGGGCGUGUGUUCGAUCAGAAGAAGAGAAAGAAAGGGGUCAAACCCUAGAACACCAAAAUCUAACAAAUUGAAAGGGGAAUUGAAGCCUAGUUGAAUGCAUGAACUAAGAAUGAUGAUCAUCUAAGCAUACCCAACAUCAAGAUAGGAAACCCCAAAUUGGUAUGGACUCAAGUAUGGAAGGCUAACGGAUCAAGAGGAAAUGAGGAAGCUAUGCACAAACUUGGAUGCACGAGGUACCAUACGGAUUUCUUCUUCUACUAACAAAGAUGAGCGGACGAAGAUCGAGUCAAGAGCAAGGAUUGUACGGGAAGGAUCGGUCAUAUAGUUUAACAAAUGUAGGUCCAAAGUAUUAAUAUAAUGGAACGUGGUAAAUACUUUUUAAUGAGUGUAUGACAUUUGGUAUUCGAACUUUCCUGUAAGUACUAUGUCUAUUAAAGAACGAAAGUUUGGGUUCAUA